rnacentral:tRNA from 1 species
GCUGCUUUAGUUUAUAUUUAGAAUGUGCUACUUGUAAUAGCGAGGUUUAAGCAGUA